UACGUAGGGGGCUAGCGUUGUCCGGAUUUAUUGGGCGUAAAGAGCGUGUAGGCGGCCUGGUAGGUCUGGUGUGAAAACUCGAGGCUUAACCUCGAGAUGUCAUCGGAAACCAUCUGGCUAGAGUCCGGAAGAGGAGAGUGGAAUUCCUGGUGUAGCGGUGAAAUGCGCAGAUAUCAGGAAGAACACCAAUGGCGAAAGCAGCUCUCUGGGACGGUACUGACGCUGAGACGCGAAAGCGUGGGGAGCGAACAGG
rnacentral:rRNA from 1 species